rnacentral:lncRNA from 1 species
AACCGGGUCUAGGCAGUGGCGUGUCUAUUCAAGAGAGUGCUCAAACUAAGACAGAGCACUCUUGGAUGUGUGAAGAAGAAGGCUACUCUAUCAAGACGGUUUCUAGUGUGAGGUGAUUGAAGAAGUAGCUGAAACUUCCACAAGCAUUCCAUCUUGGUGGCGAAUUCAGAAGGGUGAUUGCAAUGGUUUGUUGUUCCGGAUCAAGAGACUCUCACCUGCCCAAGCUUGGUUCUUCCUAGACUUAAUUCCAAGCUUAAGAGGGAGUGUUGAAGA